rnacentral:rRNA from 1 species
UAAUGAGUAUAGAUUUCUAUUUGUUAUAAAGAUGCUAGUCCUUUCAUGAUUAUGUGAUAGGUGGUGCAUGGCCGUUCUUAGUUCGUGGAGUGAUCUGUCUGCUUAAUUGCGUUUCACUAAGGUCCCAGUAAUCUAAGGUAUGCUCGUCUACUUAUCUCAUAUGACGCUGAUAGACCCCUCGUAAGAGCGCGUUGUCUAUUGCGUUAAUAUAUGUAACAAGUGACACAUACUGUUGGGAUCUGAAAGCAACGAACGUGACCGCAACGUCUUGUUGCCUUUCUAAUUUAUUCUAAUUCUUUUGUAAUUAGUUUAAUAACAAAGGCUAUUCUUUAAACUAGACGGACCGCUGUUUCUCUUUUAAACCAGAGGAAGGUUGCGGCAAUAACAGGUCUGUGAUGC